GUAGCUCGUCGGGCUCAUAACCCGAAGGUCGUCGGUUCAAAUCCGGCCCCCGCAA
rnacentral:tRNA from 1 species